rnacentral:lncRNA from 1 species
UGCUGCAACCAGAGUCUCACCAGCAUGACUGUCCAAACAGCCGAACUAGGACAACAGAGAUGGUUAAGUGGACAGGGAGAGUCCUCAAAGUCUCAUCUACACAAAGAACCACAGACAGCGAAGGGAUCCUGAGAGUGGCUGAACCUUUCCCGAUACGGUCAUAGGCCUGAGACAACAGGAACGUCACAUGAUUUAACCUGCUGUUUGCUUGGAAAGGCAUUUGAACAAGUGGCUUCUUGAAGUAUGUACCCGGGUCUCAGUGGAAGAAGAAACUGAACACAGACAAAGAGCAAGGCAGGUUACAUAUCUCGAGGCACACCCCAGUAGCCCACUUUCUUCAGAAAGGCCCUCUUCCCAAACAUUCCACGACCCCCAAAACCAGUGCCACCCAUCUGGAACAAAACUUCAAACAUAAAG